ensembl:lncRNA
CCUGGCCUGAGUCACUAAGAAAUUUGGGCUGCUGGGAAUAUGCUGUCUGCCAUUAGGCUGGGAGAUGAGAGUGUUUGCUGGCUUGGAAAAGGAUGAUCCACAGGCCUCUGUCAUGCUGGCAUCUGGAGGGACUUGUCUCCUGGUGAGAAGAGCACAUUGGAUUCCUGUUUUCUGAGAAAAGUAGAAGAUGAAGAGGUAUCUUCAAUAAAGACAGUUCUUCCAGUAUGACUACAUCAAACUGCUGAGAUAUCAACUGCUUCCUAGUAAAUACAGUGAAGUGCAGGACCUCAGAAUACCAGGAAUCCUUCUGGUGAGAGUUGAUAUUUCAAGCCCUUCG